GAUGAACGCUGGCGGCGUGCCUAAUACAUGCAAGUCGAACGGAGAAUGUAGCAAUACGUUCUUAGUGGCGAACGGGUGAGUAACGCGUUGGUGACCUGCCCCGAAGAGGGGGAUAACAGUUCGAAAGGAUUGCUAAUACCCCAUGUGGUCACUGGGAUUAGAUGCCCGGUGACUAAACGGAUUUAUUCGCUUCGGGAGGGGCCUGCGUCCCAUCAGCUAGUUGGUAAGGUAAUGGCUUACCAAGGCUAUGACGGGUAGGGGACCUGAGAGGGUGGCCCCCCACAAUGGAACUGAAACACGGUCCAUACACCUACGGGAGGCAG
rnacentral:rRNA from 1 species